AAUUCCCCAUCCCAGCCAUCCUUCAACACGUGUCUCUGUUCAAGUUCCAACUAUUGGAGUUCACUUUUCACCAGCCAGACUUUGCAGAUUGAUGGAAUUGUUAAACAUUCUCUCUCAUACAAUUCCAGAUGCUGAACAGCUUCCUACUGUUGAAAAUACUGAAGCUGAACUUUCUCCCUGGCAUUCACCAGAUCUAGCAACUGAUUCUCGGAUCCUUGUAUGGAAGGGGAUUGGGUACUCUGUUGCUGCCUGGCAAUAAAGUUAUCUUGUGCUAUCUGGAUUGUAUCUUUAUGUCUUAGAGUCUGAGGGGUCCCGUAGUUACCAAAGAUGCUCAAGCAUGGCUGGUAAACAAGUGCUUGAAGUUCCCCUGACAAAUGUUGGGGGUUCCGCUUCCUGUAUUGCUGUCAGUGCCAGAGGCAUGGAUCUACAGAAGGCCUUGGAGUCAUUUAGCACACUGAUAAUAGAGUUUCAUGAUGAAGAGGAGAAAACUACUUGGUUGAGAACACUUGUACAAGCUACCUAUCGAGCUUCUGCUCCUCCAUCAGUUAGUAUACUUGGAGAACUAAAUGAUGAUGCAUUAGAACUUGCUGAGGCUCGUGCUAUAAAUACAAAGAUGGCUGAACUUGUUGUUAAUGAAACAUUGGUAGAGAUGAAGCUAUCAUUAUAUGGGAAGGUUCAUGCAACUUGAUAUUGGCCAUCUUCAAAUUGAAAAUGAAGUUAGCUGGAUUGGAUCUCCUGAAAAAGAUCCUUCUGCAGUCCAUGUUGAUGUUCUUGAUGCUGAGAUUCUAGGUAUUAAUAUGGCUGUUGGAAUUAAUGGAUGUAUGUAUUGGCAAACCAAUGAUACGUGAAGGCAGAGACAUUCAUGUUUAUGUGCGCCGCAGUCUACAGGAUGUGUUCCGAAAGGUCCCUACAUUUGCAUUUGAUGUUAAGAUUGGCUUGCUACAUGCGGUGAUGUCAGAUAAGGAAUACAAUGUUAUUCUAGAUUGUAUCUCCACCUGUUUUCUGUAGCAACAAAUCUACUCCAAAAGAUAGAAUACGGUUGCUAGCUGAUAAAGUGAACAUGAAUAGUCAAAUACUCCUGUCACGGACAGUUACUAUAAUGGCUGUUGAAGUGGGUUAUGCCUUGCUGGAGUUAUGCAAUGGCGUCCAUGAGGAAUCACAUUUAGCUCAUGUUGCUCUUGAAGGUCUUUGGGUGUCAUACCGCAUGACUUCUUUGUCUGAAGCCUGAUCUUUAUGUUACAAU